AAAAGAGUUCAUCAAAUUGCAACUUUACAACGUACCUACUCCCAUAACAUGAUCUCCUUCCACUGGCAUUCUUUGGUAACAAGUAAAGCAUCCCCUUCUGCAUAUGUGAUUCAUGAAGCCAAUCCACGCGCAUAAGCUUAUCAGCAGUGUUAAGUGUGUCACUAUUUUUCAGUAAUUUGCCUGAUAUCAAUCACAUAAAACACCAUGAUUAGGAUAAAACCUAUU
rnacentral:misc_RNA from 1 species